rnacentral:rRNA from 1 species
GGGGGAAUAUUGGACAAUGGGCGCAAGCCUGAUCCAGCCAUGCCGCGUGAGUGAUGAAGGCCCUAGGGUUGUAAAGCUCUUUUGUGCGGGAAGAUAAUGACGGUACCGCAAGAAUAAGCCCCGGCUAACUUCGUGCCAGCAGCCGCGGUAAUACGAAGGGGGCUAGCGUUGCUCGGAAUCACUGGGCGUAAAGGGUGCGUAGGCGGGUCUUUAAGUCAGAGGUGAAAGCCUGGAGCUCAACUCCAGAACUGCCUUUGAUACUGAGGAUCUUGAGUUCGGGAGAGGUGAGUGGAACUGCGAGUGUAGAGGUGAAAUUCGUAGAUAUUCGCAAGAACACCAGUGGCGAAGGCGGCUCACUGGCCCGAUACUGACGCUGAGGCACGAAAGCGUGGGGAGCAAA